UUUUUUUUUGGUUUUAUUGAAUUCUUU
rnacentral:sRNA from 1 species